rnacentral:rRNA from 1 species
GUGGGGAAUUUUGGACAAUGGGGGCAACCCUGAUCCAGCCAUGCCGCGUGCGGGAAGAAGGCCUUCGGGUUGUAAACCGCUUUUGUCAGGGAAGAAAUCCUUUGGGUUAAUACCUCGGAGGGAUGACGGUACCUGAAGAAUAAGCACCGGCUAACUACGUGCCAGCAGCCGCGGUAAUACGUAGGGUGCGAGCGUUAAUCGGAAUUACUGGGCGUAAAGCGUGCGCAGGCGGUUUUGUAAGAUCGAUGUGAAAUCCCCGGGCUCAAACUGGGAACUGCAUUGGUGACUGCAAGGCUGGAGUGCGGCAGAGGGGGAUGGAAUUCCGCGUGUAGCAGUGAAAUGCGUAGAUAUGCGGAGGAACACCGAUGGCGAAGGCAAUCCCCUGGGCCUGCACUGACGCUCAUGCACGAAAGCGUGGGGAGCAAACAGGAUUAGAUACCCGAGUAGUCC